rnacentral:misc_RNA from 1 species
GAAAGCUCAAGUUUUAAGAGAAUUUUGUGGGUUGGAUGUUGCUUUGGAGAGGAUGAGGGUGAAGCUGGAGGUAUUAAAGGAAGGGGAAGAUCACCGAGAUUAUGCAAUGGAUGUGGAAGAUCUACGAAGCCAAGUGGAGUUACUUUUCCUUGAAAAGCUGGGAAAGAGAAUGCAGGUUUCAACAUGAAAAGAACUACAGUAGGAUGAUUUUAG